rnacentral:rRNA from 1 species
ACCGGCGCACGGGUGAGUAACGCGUAUGCAACCUACCUUUAACUGGGGAAUAGCCCAGGGAAACUUGGAUUAAUACCCCAUAAGACAUUAGAAUCGCAUGAUUUAGAUGUUAAAGUUCCGGCGGUUAAAGAUGGGCAUGCGUGCCAUUAGAUAGUUGGUGAGGUAACGGCUCACCAAGUCUUCGAUGGCUACGGGGUCUUAAAGGAUGAUCCCGCACACUGGUACUGAGACACGGACCAGACUCCUACGGGAGGCAGCAGUGAGGAAUAUUGGUCAAUGGGGGCAACCCUGAACAAGCCAUGCCGCGUGCAGGAAGACGGCCCUAUGGGUUGUAAACUGCUUUUGUACGGGAAUAAUGGGUUCUACGUGUAGAGCUAUGAAGGUACCGUACGAAUAAGCAUCGGCUAACUCCGUGCCAGCAGCCGCGGUAAUACGGAGGAUGCAGGCGUUAUCCGGAUUUAUUAGGUUUAAAGGGUGCGCAGGCGGCACAUUAAGUCAGUGGUGAAAGUUUGCAGCUUAACUGUAAAAUUGCCAUUGAUACUGGUGAGCUUGAAUAUGGUAGAGGUAGGCGGAAUGUGUAGUGUAGCGGUGAAAUGCUUAGAUAUUACACAGAACACCAAUUGCGAAGGCAGCUUACUAUGCCACUAUUGACGCUGAGGCACGAAAGCGUGGGGAGCGAACAGGAUUAGAUACCCUGGUAGUCCACGCCGUAAACGAUGAUUACUGGUUGU